rnacentral:tRNA from 1 species
UUAGCUGAAACCAAAAAGAGGUAUAUUAUUGUUAAUAAUAAAAAUGAACUGAUAGUUCCAGCUAAG